rnacentral:rRNA from 1 species
ACGGAAGGCAGCAGUGGGGAAUAUUGGACAAUGGGGGAAACCCUGAUCCAGCGACGCCGCGUGAGUGAAGAAGUAUUUCGGUAUGUAAAGCUCUAUCAGCAGGAAAGAAAAUGACGGUACCUGACUAAGAAGCCCCGGCUAACUACGUGCCAGCAGCCGCGGUAAUACGUAGGGGGCAAGCGUUAUCCGGAUUUACUGGGUGUAAAGGGAGCGUAGACGGUUUUGCAAGUCUGAAGUGAAAGCCCGGGGCUCAACCCCGGAAUUGCUUUGGAAACUGUAGGACUAGAGUGCAGGAGAGGUAAGUGGAAUUCCUAGUGUAGCGGUGAAAUGCGUAGAUAUUAGGAGGAACACCAGUGGCGAAGGCGGCUUACUGGACUGUAACUGACGUUGAGGCUCGAAAGCGUGGGGAGCAAACAGGAUUAGAUACCCUGGUA